rnacentral:rRNA from 1 species
CCUACGGGGAGCAGCAGUGGGGAAUAUUGGGCAAUGGGCGCAAGCCUGACCCAGCAAUGCCGCGUGAAGGAAGAAGGCUUUCGGGUUGUAAACUUCUUUGACAGGGGAAGAGCAGAAGACGGUACCCUGAAAACAAGCCACGGCUAACUACGUGCCAGCAGCCGCGGUAAUACGUAGGUGGCAAGCGUUGUCCGGAUUUACUGGGUGUAAAGGGCGUGUAGCCGGGAAGGCAAGUCAGAUGUGAAAUCUGGAGGCUCAACCUCCAAAUUGUAUUUGAAACUGUUUUUCUUGAGUACUGGAGAGGCAGACGGAAUUCCUUGUGUAGCGGUGAAAUGCGUAGGUAUAAGGAGGAACACCAGUGGCGAAGGCGGUCUGCUGGACAGCAACUGACGGUGAGGCGCGAAAGCGUGGGGAGCAAACAGGAUUAGAUACCCGGGUAGUC